AGAUCCGGAACUCCCCUCGGCUACACCUUUCCCCGGGCUCUUCCCUCCGCUCCUCCCCGUGGCCCCCUCCCCUCUGGCGGCCACCGCAGAGCUCCGACUGACCCGUGUGCCUCGCUCUGCCAGGCUGCCUUCCUCUCUACCUGCCCCCUUCCAGAUCCGCAGUCCCCUGCUCUCCACGCGAGCCCCCUUCACAGUCCCUGCUACCUUGUAACUAACUUGCACUUUUCCCGAGUCCGGUUCUUAGCCUUUGCCCUGCAGCUCAGCUCCUUAAAGCUUUCAGAUCCCCAAACUUUUAUUGUAAUUAUGGACAAUAACUCCGUCCUUAACGCCUGUGCCCUCCGGGAUCCCGUGGCCCGCCGCCCCCUCCGUUGGACCUGGAGUCGCUCUCGUCUGCACCUCUCCCUUAGACCCACUUCCCUGAGCCCCUUGUCGAGAGGCUUUCAGGAAGCCAACCAGGAAGUGGGACUACCGCUGCUGCUGCAGCAGCUCCACGUGGCUGAUUUAUAGCUGAAGGGUUUUUUUUUUUCCUUCUUAUUGAUUGUUCUUGCUUUUUCACACGGCUCCUUAAGGUGGUGAAUUUGUAACCGAAAGGCCCAGGUGAGAUGUGCAAAUAUCACUGGAUUGGAGGAGCUCACUUGGAAAGCCAGUAUUCCUCCUGAGCUAAUGAAAAGAAAGGCUGUCGUCUUAUGCCAAAAGCAAUACCAACCUUGUUCACGGGCUGAGAUCUAGAGUGUGUAAUUCACGAAGUAUGAAUCUGCUGGGUAAUGUGAUAUGAAAAGCGAAUGCACCAUUUCUUGGUGAUGAUUCAGGUCAGCGUUGGGACCCAGGAAUCUCCUGUUAAUCAGUACCCUGGUGAUUUUGAUCCAGAGACGGGGUCUAUUAUCUGGUCCUGUUGUCAAGGCUGGUCUCAAACUCCUGGCCUCCAGCGAUCCUCCCUUUUUGGCCUCCCAAGAUGCUGGUAUUACAGGCAUGAGCCACCAUGGUCCACCCGGACUCCUUUUCAUAGGAGACAGUUCCCUAGGCAGAGACUGGGCUUGAAACAGACAGGCUAGCUUCAUGCGUGAUA
rnacentral:lncRNA from 10 species